CUGCCAGUCAAUAAUGGUCCUGCCAACAGCUUACACUGUCGGCUGAAACAUUGUGGGAUGCCACACUUGGCCCAAAGGCGGAUGGUACAGCAACAGAUUUC
rnacentral:lncRNA from 1 species